rnacentral:rRNA from 1 species
AGAGUUUGAUCAUGGCUCAGAACGAACGCUGGCGGCAGGUUUAACACAUGCAAGUCGAACGAUGUAGCAAUACAUAGUGGCGCACGGGUGAGUAACGCGUGGGAAUAUACCUUAUAGUGGGGAAUAACUUUGGGAAACUAAAGCUAAUACCGCAUACGCCCGAGAGGGGAAAGAUUUAUCGCUAUAAGAUUAGCCCGCGUGAGAUUAGGUAGUUGGUGGGGUAAUGGCCUACCAAGCCUACGAUCUCUAGCUGGUCUGAGAGGAUGAUCAGCCACACUGGAACUGAGACACGGUCCAGACUCCUACGGGAGGCAGCAGUGGGGAAUAUUGGGCAAUGGACGAAAGUCUGACCCAGCCACGCCGCGUGAAUGAUGAAGGCCUUAGGGUUGUAAAGUUCUUUCGCCGAUGAAGAUAAUGACGGUAGUCGGAGAAGAAGCCCCGGCUAACUUCGUGCCAGCAGCCGCGGUAAUACGAAGGGGGCUAGCGUUGUUCGGAAUUACUGGGCGUAAAGCGAGCGUAGGUUGCUCGAUAAGUCAGUGGUGAAAGCCCAGAGCUCAACUCUGGAACUGCCAUUGAAACUGUCGAGCUGGAAUCUCAGAGGGGGUAGCGGAAUUCCAAAUGUAGGGGUGAAAUCCGUAGAUAUUUGGAGGAACGCCGGUGGCGAAGGCGGCUACCUGGAUGAGUAUUGACACUGAGGCUCGAAAGCGUGGGGAUCAAACAGGAUUAGAUACCCUGGUAGUCC